CAGCAGCCGCGGGAAUACGUAGGGUGCAAGCGUUAAUCGGAAUUACUUGGCGUAAAGCGUGCGCAGGCGGUUAUAUAAUACAGAUGUGAAAUCCCCGGGCUCAACCUGGGAACUGCAUUUGUGACUGUAUAGCUAGAGUACGGCAGAGGGGGAUGGAAUUCCGCGUGUAGCAGUGAAAUGCGUAGAUAUGCGGAGGAACACCGAUGGCGAAGGCAAUCCCCUGGGCCUGUACUGACGCUCAUGCACGAAAGCGUGGGGAGCAAACAGGAUUAGAUACCCCCGUAGUCCCUGUCUCUUAUAC
rnacentral:rRNA from 1 species